GGCCAUCCUUGAUCGUGCCUCUAGAAACAAGCUAAAACCCUGAUUCUAGGGUUUUCCAUUUUGGCUUCAACCUUUCCCUCCGUUUUCUAUGCUCAAAAUUUACUGGUAAUUAUUAUGCUAAUAUCAGUGGAACUACUUUAGCAUUUAUCUAUCUAGCCAGAGCUACUGCUGGAUCAACGUUUGUGAAGAUAUGCUGCAUCCAAGUGUAUUUUUGGUCGUUUUCCUUCUUCUCAUAGUGCAGGAAAUGGCGUCGCAUUUGGCUUCUGGACCUCAUAUUGCUGAUGUGAACAUACUGCUCCCUCCUAAGAUGACGCAUCUUGUGGAGUAUCGGCUUCAAGGAAGUGAUGGCUGCUUCAAAUGGUCAUGGGAUCAUCAUGAUAUUUUAUCUGUUCUACCUGAAUAUAAUUUAACCAGCCACUGCUCUACAAGUGCUCGGUUGAGAUCUAUUGCCCCUUUUAGUGGUCGCAAGGAGACUGCAGUUUAUGCGGCUGAAGUACACUCUGGAAUUGUAAUUCGCUGCAAAGUUUUUAUUGAUAACAUUUCCAGAAUUCAGAUAUUCCAUAAUUCUAUUAAACUGGAUUUGGAUGGGCUGGCUACUCUCCGAGUUCGUGCCUUUGAUAGUGAAGAUAAUGUGUUCUCAUCAUUAGCGGGCCUGCAAUUCAUGUGGCAGCUGAUACCUGAGGCUGUUGGAUUGCCUCACCACCUUGUUCAUGUUCCUCUGAAGGAGUCUCCCCUGAGUGACUGUGGUGGAUUGUGUGGAGAUUUAAACAUCCAAAUAAAACUUGAAGAUAGUGUACGUCUGCAAGAAGUUGAUAUAACAUGAGCAAUUUCAGAGACUUAGCAUAUUUGGCAUCUCACAAUUUUCAAUGAUAUGCGGUGCAGGGUGUAUUCUCUGAUUUAUAUGUGGUGAAAGGCAUUGGAAUUGGACAUGAAAAUGUGUAUGUGCAUUUGCUCGAGCCACAAUUUAAGCAUGUUGCUGAUAAGAUUGUUCUAACUGUAGCAGAAGCAAUGUCACUUGAGCCUCUCUCACCUGUUUUUGUUCUCAUUGGUGCUGCUUUUCAUUAUAGUCUUAAAGUUAUCCGUGGAAAUAUACCACAAGUUGUAACUCUACCAUCUCCACAUCAUAGAUGGUUUGUCUCGAACUCCACUAUUGCUGAGGUGGACUCUAUGAUGGGAUUUGUUCAUGCAAUGAACUUAGGGGUAACAACUGUCGUUGUUGAGGAUACCAGAGUUGCUGGCCACAUACAAAUGUCUUCACUUAAUGUGGUUCUCCCAGAUAGUUUACGACUGUACAUAAUGCCGUUAUCCAUUUCUGGUGAUCAUGUGGAAGGAGUGAAAGCCAUUCCAUCUAUGGAACCUUGGUAUGUUGUUUCUGGCCGCCAGUAUCUUAUUCAAAUGAAGGUUUUCUCAAGGGGACCUGAUGUGCAUGAAAUCUACAUUACAGAGACUGAUGAUCUUAAGCUGCAUGACGAGCGGUCUAAUUACUGGACAACUUUCUUGCCGUCAGAGGAUAUUGAGGCCAAAUACGGCUGGCAUAAUUCUAGAAUCCUGAGAGCAACCUCACAGGGGCAGGGAGAACUGACAGCUUCUUUAAGUUAUUUUAGUGGGCACCAAGAGACAAAGGAGGUUAUUGGGGUUGUGCAAGAAGUGAUCGUUUGUGAUCAAGUGAAGUUUAUUUUGGACAGAACAACUGGUGCAUCUCAAAAUAUUCUCCUUCCCUGGGCCCCUUCUGUUUACCAGGAGACGGAGCUAAAGGCUUUAGGAGGUUGUGCUCAAGUAUCCAGUGAUUACAAAUGGUUUUCUUCAGAUGUGGCUGUUGUAUCAAUAUCUGCGUCAGGCAUUGUUCAGGCAAAGAAGCCUGGUAAAGCAACAGUCAGAGUAGUGUCCAUUUAUGAUCCAUUUAAUUAUGAUGAGCUGAUUGUGGAAGUUUCUAUUCCAUCAUCCAUGAUUAUACUGCAGAAGUUCCCUGUAGAGACUCUUGUGGGAUCACAUCUUCAAGCUGCUGUGACAAUGAAAGCAUCUAAUGGUGCCUUUUUUUAUAGUUGCAAUGCCUUUCACUCAUUCAUAAAAUGGAUAACUGGAAGCGAGUCUUUUGUUGUUGUCAAUGCAACAAAGGAGCCACCUGUUUUAGAAAAGCUAGGAAAUGUUGAGCUACAUGACUCUGUUUAUGGUCCACCAUGCUCAUGGACCUCUGUAUAUGCUUUAGAUUCUGGUCAGACCAUGCUGCAUGCGGUACUGUCAAAAGAAUAUGACCACUAUGAUCAUUCUUUCCAUGAACCUAUAAUUUUGAAAGCAUCAUCACGUAUUGCAGCAUAUCCACCAUUAAUUGUGCGUCAAGUGGGUGAUGGUAACCAGUUUGGUGGGUACUGGUUUGAUUUGGCUCAUGUUGAAGCAAGUAAUCAACUGGAAAAUUUAGAGAGGUUAUAUCUUGUCCCUGGAACAAGUCUAGAUGUUAUUCUCCUUGGAGGACCUGAAAGCUGGGACAAAGGUGUUGACUUCAUUGAAACUGUCGAAAUAUUGGAUGACAAACACACUGACUCUAAAGAUGGGGUUCAUGUACAUCCAGUGUUUGGGAGAUAUCAGAGUAUGUAUAGAGUCUCGUGCCAAAAUCUGGGAAUAUUUAAAUUGGUUUUCAAACGUGGGAAUGCAGCUGGAGAUGACCACCCUCUGCCAGCGAUAGCAGAAGAUAUAUUGACUCUCACAUGUAGAAUUCCUUCUUCAAUUGCACUCAUAGUUGAUGAACCUCUUAACAGACAUGAAGCUAUAAGGAAUGCUGCUCUUGCUGACCGUAGCAAAGGGAAAAUCCAAGUUAACUCCAUUACAGUGGCAAAUGGGCGAACUAUUCGUAUAGCUGCAGUUAGCAUUGAUUCUUCUGGAGAAACUUUUGCAAACUCAUCUUCUCUUGCUUUGAAAUGGGAAUUGAGCAGCUGUGAAGGGCUGGCAUAUUGGGAUGCAGAUGAAGCUAAGUUGUCUAAAUCAAGUUGGGAGAGGUUUUUGGUUUUGCAAAAUGAAUCGGGGGAGUGCAUAGUUCGUGCUGCUGUUAUAGGCUUUUGUGAUGCCAUAGUUGGUCAUUAUUCUGCCCAACUGCCAACUUCAGAGAUUGUUCUUACAGAUGCUAUGCGUUUACGGCUUGUUUCUACAUUGAGAGUCAAUCCAGAGUUCAACUUGUUAUUUUUCAAUCCCAAUGCUAAGGUAAAUUUGUCAAUUACAGGGGGAAGCUGUUUUUUAGAAGCUGCUGUGAAUGAUUCUCAUGUGGUAGAGGUUAUUCAAUCCCCACCAGGCAUGCAGUGCUUUCAUUUGACUCUCUCCCCUAAAGGGUUGGGGACUGCACUUGUGACAGUUUUUGAUAUUGGGCUUGCUCCUACUAUUACAGCUUCUGCUGUGGUCCAAGUAGCGGAAGUAGACUGGAUUAAGAUUGUGUCGGGAGAAGAAAUAAGCCUUAUGGAAGGAGAGUCAUCAUCCAUAGAUCUAAUGGCUGGUAUUAAAGAUGGAAGUAUAUUUGACACUAAUCAGUAUGCUUACAUGGAGUUUCAUGUAUGGAUUGAGGAUGAUAUAGUUGAACUUGUAGAUGAUAAUGAUAUCCCAAGUUCCAGUGGUGGGCGCGUUAAUAGACCAAACUUCAAAAUUAUUGCUAGAAAUCUUGGGAUCACAACUCUUUAUGUCAGUGCCAAACAACAAUCUGGACAUGAAAUACUGAGCCAACCAAUAAAGAUAGAAGUCUAUGCACCAUUGAGAAUUCACCCGCAUGAUAUAUUCUUGGUACCAGGUUCAUCUUAUGUGCUUACUGUGAAAGGAGGCCCAACUAUUGGUGUGGAUGUUGAGUAUGCAACCUUGGAUGACAGAAUAGCAACCGUUGACAGAUCUUCUGGACAAGUAUCUGCAAUUUCACCUGGGAACACGACAAUCGUUUCCACAGUCUAUGGGAAUGGAGAUGUUGUGAUUUGUCAAGCAUAUUGUAAUGUUAAAGUGGGAGUUCCUUCUUCAGCGAUAUUGAAUGUACAAAGUGAACAGCUUGAUGUUGGUCGUGACAUGCCAAUACAUCCUUCAUUUCCUGAGGGUGAUCUAUUUUCCUUUUAUGAGCUCUGCAAAAAGUACAAGUGGACUGUAGAUGAUGAAAAGGUGUUGAAUUUCUACAAAGCAGAAGGCUUAAAUGGUGAAAAGAAUUGGUUCCAAUUGGAUGACGAGAAAGAACUCGGUUUUAUCAAAGUGUUGUAUGGAAGUUCUGCAGGCAGGACAAGUGUUGCGGUUACGUUUACAUGUGACUUUGUUUCUACUUCUUACUCACAGACUAGACUUUACAAUGCAUCCAUAACGUUAUUGGUUGUUCCUGAUCUCCCUCUUGCUCUUGGAGUUCCAAUAACAUGGAUUCUUCCUCCUCAUUACAUUACAUCUAGUAUUUUGCCUUCUUGUUUGGAAUCACAUGGCCUGUCAGAUUGUCAAAGUCGCAAAGGAACAAUUACCUAUGCUUUACUAAGAAGUUGUGAAAAGAAUGAAGUUUGGCAAAAGGAUGCAAUUUCUAUAGAUGGAGAUAGAAUUAAAACAAUGGAGAGCACAAAUCUCGCAUGCAUACAGGCCAAAGAUCGGACAACUGGAAGGAUUGAGAUUGCAUCUUGUGUUAGGGUUGCUGAGGUGGCUCAAAUAAGAAUAACAAGCAAGGAGUUUCCGUUUCAUGUAACUCAUGUUGCUAUCGGCGCUGAACUUGAUCUUCCCAUAAGCUAUUUCGAUGCUUUAGGAAAUCCCUUCUUUGAAGCACACAAUGUUGUUUCCUAUCAUGCCGAGACUAACUAUCAUGAUAUUGUCUCCAUAGAUGAUACAAAAAAUGGUAGUGGGGGAAUCCAUCUGAAGGCAAUGCGUUAUGGUAGAGCUCUUUUACGAGUAUCAUUCAGCAGUAAUCCAGAGAAGUCUGACUAUAUGAUGAUCUCUGUUGGUGCCCAUGUAUUUCCUCAAAACCCUGUCCUUCGUCAAGGAAGUUCACUUGAUUUCAAUGUUGAAGGGAUUGAUGAUCAUGUCUCUGGCCGCUGGCUUAGUGCUAAUGAAAGUGUCAUAUCUGUAGAUAUGACAUCAGGAAAAGCUGAAGCAGUUGGGAUAGGUUCGACCCAAGUAGCUUUUGAAUCUCCAAGUAUGAAAUUGCAAACAGCAGUUAGUGUGCUAUCGGGAAAUAUUGUCACUAUUGAUGCUCCGAAAGAGAUGCUAACAAAUGUUCCUUACCCAACAAAAGGAUAUAGCUUCUCUGUGAAGUUCAGUGACCCUCACCAAAAGUUUGAUGCUGUCAAAAAUGGUAAAGAAAUGUCAUAUGACUGUAAGGUUGAUCCUCCUUUUGUUGGGUAUGCAAAGCCAUGGAUGGAUCUUGACACGGGUAAUUCCUAUUGCCUCUUCUUCCCAUACUCACCAGAGCAUUUGGAACGCUCAAUACCCAGAAUGAAGGAUAUGAGACCUUAUAUAUCUGUUUCCAUUAAUGCUUCACUCAAAGAAGCCAACCAUGUCUCUGGAUCUGCGUCUGCACUUUUUAUUGGAGGCUUUUCUAUAUUGGAGAUGGACAAGAGUUUAAUGCAGUUGAAUCUGACACCAGACUCCAACAAGACUAUAAUAACCAUCUUGGGUAAUACAGAUGUUGAUAUCCAAUGGCAUAACCAGGAUUUUAUAAAGAUCAGCCCUAUCCAUAAAGAAGAUUUUGGUCUUGGUGGUCGUGCAGAUUAUGAGGUCAAAGUGCUAAAAGCCAAGAGAUUCAAGGAUAAAAUUAUCAUCGCACUUCCAGCCAAUAGUCAGAGAGUUGAAAUAGAUGUUAAUUAUGAACCUGAUGCUGGAGAUGCAUCAAAAACCAUCUUCAAAAGCAGCAUAUUUCUAAUGGUAGCUGGGUCUUUAGUUGCGGCACUGGGAACGAUAUUUAUUUUCAAAAAUUUCAUUCGGAUGUCCAACAGAACUCAGCCAUAUCCAACCCCUGCUACUCCAAGUAUUACAGCACCUCUUACACCCGAGCGUAGUAGCCCUAUUUUGAACGAACAGUCACCUCGAACACCUCAGCCUUUUGUAGACUAUGUGAGAAGGACAAUAGAUGAAACUCCAUACUACAAGCAAGAAUCUAGGAGGUUUGAUCCACAGCGUACGUAUUAGACCUUUUAUCUCUCUUCCUGCCAAUUUGUGUCAUUGAGCAUGAUUGCUGUCUGAUUUAGACCCAACAUUUUGUUGAUCAAAAUUUUUGUGCAACCUGGACCUUCAUACUUUGUUGUGCAGAGACACAUUUUCUAUGUUAGGGUCAUGUUACACGAGGAAUGUGCAUUUUGUCGAGACUAAUCCUUUUAUCGUGUUUAGAGGAAUAUAAAUGAAGAUGUUAGUGGGUCUAUUUGAUUUUGUUAUUGCAGCUGAGCUGCCAUUGAUAAAAGCAAGCUAGUA
rnacentral:misc_RNA from 1 species